UUAGGAAACCAUUUUCCAAAACACGGUAAAAUCAAGCCCAUUCCUCCGGAAAUUGUCUUACGGCUUCAAAAUUGGUAAGACAUUUUCCAUUCUUCUCUAAGCAGGCAUUUUCUGUUCUCUUCUAAGCAGCAGACAUUUUCCAUUCCUCAAAGCUUCCGCCUUUCCUCAUCUCUGCCUUGCCAUCUCUGUCUCUCAGCAUCUUCCUUCUCCAUCUUUCUGCUCCAUAGAUCUGUCGGUGAGUCACCCAAAAGAUUCAAGUUUUUUUAUGAAAUUGGUGGUUUUUUGCUGGAUUUUCCAGAAAUCGGAAGAAGGAUGAAAACUCAUCCUCUUCUUCCCUACACCACUCGACCCCCAAUUCUUCACUACAGGGAAGCUUUCCCUUUUAAUUUUCUUGCUAUUUUCUCUAUAAAAAUCUCACCAUUUCUACCUUCAAAGCUUUAGUUAGUAGAUGCGAUUGACCCGAUUCAUUUCUUAUCUCUUAUCGUUUUUUUAUUUGUUUAUUCCUUAGUUGGAAUUUUAACUUUAUUUUAUCGCAUUUUGUUGUGUAAUUUUAGGGUUGCUGAAUUUCUUAAAC
rnacentral:lncRNA from 1 species